GGGGCGUAAAAAGAGGGGGCGUGCGCGGUUGGUGUCAGUUUCGGAAUCCCAACCCGCACCGCGUAGCACCCAGGAGCUUUGGCGUCCCCACGCUCCCAACCCCACCCCCUCAACCCGCUCGCGUGAGCUCGGGGCCGGGACCGGACUUUUGCCGCGAUCUGUUUUCCUCCUCUUCCCCCUUUGUUGCUCCGGAACCCGGCCUCGCCGCCGCAGUGCUCCCGCUCCCGGAGAGAGAGAGAGAGAGGCGGCUGCGAGCAGCGCACCGGCCCAUUCCUGCAGACUCGCACGUCCUUCCCCACCACCCCGCCGCCGGCGCCCGCUCGCCCGAGGGAACUCGUGGAGACUUCCUUAAUGCACCCAUUCCAGUGGUGUAACGGGUGCUUCUGUGGCUUGGGACUGGCUAGCACCAACAAGUCCUGCUCAAUGCCACCCAUCAGUUUCCAAGACCUUCCUCUCAACAUCUACAUGGUCAUCUUCGGCACAGGCAUCUUUGUCUUCAUGCUCAGCCUCAUCUUCUGCUGCUACUUUAUCAGCAAACUCCGGAAUCAGGCACAGAGUGAACGAUACGGAUACAAGGAGGUGGUAUUAAAAGGUGAUGCCAAGAAAUUACAGUUAUAUGGACAGACCUGCGCCGUUUGUCUGGAAGACUUCAAGGGGAAGGACGAGCUGGGCGUGCUCCCGUGCCAGCAUGCCUUCCACCGCAAGUGUCUGGUGAAGUGGCUGGAAGUGCGUUGCGUGUGCCCCAUGUGUAACAAGCCCAUCGCCGGGCCCUCAGAGGCCUCGCAAAGCAUCGGGAUCCUCCUGGAUGAGCUGGUGUGAGCGCCGCCUGGGUUUACACCUGCAGCUGGACAAAAGACUUCUUGCCUUGGGAGCGCCCGGUUCCCCCUCAGCCUGCACAAGCCAGGAUGAGGAAGAUUGGGAGCACAGGAGAGGGCUGGUCACAUACCUUGUCACCCA